AAUAUUGGACAAUGGGCGAAAGCCUGAUCCAGCCAUGCCGCGUGUGUGAAGAAGGUCUUCGGAUUGUAAAGCACUUUAAGUUGGGAGGAAGGGCUUUAGGUUAAUACCCUGAAGUUUUGACGUUACCAACAGAAUAAGCACCGGCUAACUCUGUGCCAGCAGCCGCGGUAAUACGACGGGUGCAAGCGUUAAUCGGAAUUACUGGGCGUAAAGCGUGCGCAGGCGGUUUGGCAAGAAGGAUGUGAAAUCCCAGGGCUUAACCUUGGAACUGCAUUCUUAACUGCUGAGCUAGAGUACGGUAGAGGGUAGUGGAAUUUCCUGUGUAGCGGUGAAAUGCGUAGAUAUAGGAAGGAACACCAGUGGCGAAGGCGACUACCUGGACUGAUACUGACACUGAGGUUCGAAAGCGUGGGUAGCAAAC
rnacentral:rRNA from 1 species